rnacentral:rRNA from 1 species
ACGAACGCUGGCGGCUCGCCUAACACAUGCAAGUCGAACGAGCGAGAGAGAGCUUGCUUUCUCGAGCGCGUGGCGAACGGGUGAGUAACGCGUGAGGAACCUGCCUCAAAGAGGGGGACAACAGUUGGAAACGACUGCUAAUACCGCAUAAGCCCACGACCCGGCAUCGGGUAGAGGGAAAAGGAGCAAUCCGCUUUGAGAUGGCCUCGCGUCCGAUUAGCUAGUUGGUGAGGUAACGGCCCACCAAGGCGACGAUCGGUAGCCGGACUGAGAGGUUGAACGGCCACAGUGGAAAUGAGACACGGCCCAGACUCAUACGGGAAGCAGCAGUGGGGAAUAUUGCACAAGGGGGGAAACCCUGAUGCAGCGACGCCGCGUGGAGGAAGAAGGUCUUCGGAUUGUAAACUCCUGUUGUAGAGGAAGAUAAUGACGGUACUCAACAAGGAAGUGACGGCUAACUACGUG